GAGUUUGAUCGUGGCUCAGGACGAACGCUGGCGGCAUGCCUAAUACAUGCAAGUCGAACGAGGUUUCCUUAAUGAUAGUUGGUGCUUGCAUUAAUUUGACUUAAGAUCUAACCGAGUGGCGAACUGGUGAGUAACACGUGGGGAACCUGCCCUUAAGUAGGGGAUAACAUUUGGAAACAAAUGCUAAUACCGUAUAACAACAUAAGCCACAUGGUUUAUGUUUGAAAGAUGGCUCUGCUAUCGCUUUUGGAUGGACCCGCGGCGUAUUAGCUAGUUGGUGAGAUAAUGGCUCACCAAGGCGAUGAUACGUAGCCGACCUGAGAGGGUAAUCGGCCACAUUGGAACUGAGACACGGUCCAGACUCCUACGGGAGCAGCAGGUAGGAAUCUUCACAUGGACGAAAGUCUGAUGAAGCAAUGCCGCGUGAGUGAUG
rnacentral:rRNA from 1 species